UGAAUUGCCAGAGCAGCCAUGGACCAUAGCUUCUGCCACGCUGUGGGCAGUUUUGAUGAGGAGAAGGGUCCCCUUUCAGGCCCUCCCAUCUGGGAUGUUCAGAAGCAGUUAUAGGAAUGGCGGCACUGGCUGGGUCCCGGGAGGAUAAACAGACGGAGUUGGCUUGUCCUCUCUGAGUAGACGACUGGGAGAAGUCAGACGUGAGAGCAGUUUGAGAAAGCUGUUUCAUCCAUAAAAUGUUUGAUGACCUUGUCCAUGUCAUUAAUGGCAUAUUAUUGUGAAAUAGACCCACGUGCCUCAGAAAUGGCCUCAUGCCCGACUCAGCUAAGCUUGUCAGUGAUCUCCUGACUUAUUUUCAAUUUGGAAUUCUAAACAGAGUCCAAAAUUCUAGGCCAAGGCAAAAAUUUCGAGAAGAAAACAUGCCAAUUCUAGCUCAAGAGACAGGAUAAAAUGUCUUUGCCGUUGGUGCUGAAAGGAGACAGACAAUAGGCCACAGGCAGGGGAUACGCAUGAAGGGUGGAGCUCAAGACCUCAGCUGCUUUCCUCCAGGAGUUUGGUCUGGGAGACAUCACGUGAAAAUGAACACAAAGGGCAAUCCUACAAGCCAAAAGACAGAUAUGACUGAGACGCCUCCUGCCAUCGAGAAGCUCAUAAUCUACUGGACUAUAAACCUCCAUCUCUAGAAGGCUCAGAGAAAAUCCCAUUCACCAAGGCCGUAAUGUACCUGCAUCACCAGGAAGCUCCAUGGUGGCCCCCCUCUGCAGACAGUGGGAGAGGUUUCUACAGAGCUGGGCUCGCUGAACGCAAGAGGGAUGAUAGGACCCUGGAACAAGAGUGGCUAUGUGGUGACGCAACUCUCAGAAAUCAGGUGAAUGCAAUGAUCAUAAUCAGCAAAAAGCUCAGAGGGGCAAUCAAGGAAGGCUGGACCACAGAAUGUGAUGGAGAUGGAGACCACAUCCCCAGGGGCAAAAUACCUGUCAACAAGAGCACUACGCAACUUGUGCCAUUGGAAGAAAUCGAGGAUGGAUAUUCAGGAGGCCGGUGGUGGGUACCGCAAUAAAAGUCCCAAUAACUUGCCCCAGAGUUGGAAAACUCUGAACCCCUUGACUGAGAGGAGGGCCAGGUCUCCAAGAAAAAGGACCAUGCAACACCUGGGUGAAUGGGCACAGCCAAGAUACCUUGAGGUCUUCCUCAAAGGGAUCUAAGGACUCAGGGAACUCUUCACCAGGAAAAGGGGAAUAUCAAGUUUUUGGAGAACUGCGGGAGGUGACUGAUAUGUGGAGACCUGAAGAGUCAUCAUGGCCCUCUCGCUCUGUUGUGUGGGACAGAGGGCAGCCAAGCAAUAAGUAAAAUCUUGCCUGUGGUCUGGUGGCUCACAGUGGUUUCAAUAGGUCCACAGAUCCAAUCAGUUGUCGUUUCCCCCAUCUCCAAAUGUAUAACCGGGGUAGAUAUUCUCAGAACUUGGCACAACCUUCACAGUGGGUCUUUGGCCUGUGGGAUGGGAGCUUUCAAUGGGGAAAGCCAAGUGGAAUUUUCUAAAGCUACCCCCAUUCACAUAGCCAAGAUAGCAAAUAAAACAUGUGUAUGAUAUAUAUUUCAUCCUGGGGGAAGGAAGAAUAUGGGGGCAGUGAGGAGAGGGGACUAUGGGAUGUAUAAGAGGAGAGAGGGGCAGAUGGCUGAAGUUAGUGCUACCCUUAGGGAUCUAAAAGGUAGCAGGUUGGUUCUCCCUGUUAUAUCUCCAUUUAAUUAACCUGUCUGGCUCCUGAAGGAUCCAGGUUGGUCCUGGAGGCCAAGAGUGGACGACGGCAACUCAACCAAGUAGCCCGCCCAAACUGGGCCCAAUGAGGUAUUCUUGCUAGAGCAGAUUCACACAGCCUCCAGUACAUGGGAUGCAACCAUGGGUUUGGUAAAUGUGUUCUCUAUGGCUGUCAGAAAGGAGAUCAGAAAGAGUUUGCAUCUGCUUGAUACAUUUCUUUGCAGUUCACAAUACACAUUCACACUUUUGCCCCAGGGCUAUCUUAACUAUGCCUGAAGAAGUGUGGACCCAUGAGACAUCAUGCAGAACACCGACCCACUACAUCAAUGAUCUUUCCUAGGGAUCCCUGAGAUCCUGACUCCCUGUCAUGGGAUCUGGAGUAACAGCGCCGUGGACCAGGGCAUCUACUUGGUAAUGAAAGAAAUGAGCAUACAACUACAGAAUCUGCUGGCCCAUAAGCCCUAUAAACCAAAAUCUAAGGACCUGACAGAAGGUUGAGAUGCAUUCCUGGGCUACUGCCAGGACUCCACCUUGGGGUGACACCCUGCAAGGACACUGUACAACACAUGGAAUAUUCUUAGGCCUUUAUUUGGUUCCAAAGUGUUUAAAUUAUACUGAAACAGAAACAAGAGGCUGGGAUCUGCCUCUAAUAUUUUAAUAUGUUUAAUUUUUUGGCUUUUAACGAUGAUCUGAAAAGACCACCCAGCAGAAGAGUGAAAGUAGAGAACAAUGACAUUAAAUUUAAAACAAAUCAUUGUAAUUCACAGGUUAGCCUGCAGAUGGUGCCAUAUUACUACUUUUUCUCUUUGCUUUUUCUUCGCUUUAAACCAUCACCUUGACUGCCGUGGGUCAGUGUCCGUCUGGUUGUGACAAACGGGAAGGCAGGCCACAGUCACUGAUUCUCAAAACAUUUGGAGUGGAUUUUAUACUGUCUGAUGUGCAAUCUUCCUUCAAAGAAAGAUAGAUGGUAUUGCUAAUAAAAUUAAAACAGCUCCAAGAAUGGCAGAAUGUAAUGGAAUUUAGGGAGCCUUCUGUCUAACUAUCAGCAGAUAAGAAAGUUAUUUCCUCAAAAUAAUACAGCCAGUAAUUGUCAGGGACAAGCCUCUGCUUCUGACCUUCAGUCACAAGUUAGCCUUAGUUCUGUUACCCCGUUAUUGUCUUCUCACAGGUUAGGGUAAACAUUAUCUCGAGAAUUUGAGAACAUCCUUAUUGGAGAUAGUUUUUAAACCCUGGUUGGCAAUAAUUAACACCCUUGAAUGGGCAGUAGAUUGUACAAACACCACAUGGAAAUGUCAUUGCUUGAUUACAGCAAAGUAAAAAGCCACUAGUCUACAGACUCAGAUUAAAUAUGGAAUAACACAUUUAAGAAACCAGAGAGUAUUUAUGAUUAAGAAGUGGGAAGGAGGAUUAUGGGAUGUGUAAGGGUGGAGGCGGCACAAUUAACGUAUUUUUUGUGCCAUGCACAGUUGUACAUGUUUCUGGGAAAAUAACAGAUCCAAUUAAUUAAUCUUGUCCAUUGGCAGAGUGGGCAAUGAAAUAUACAGUAUGGCUUCAGGGGCACUGGAAAGUAUUCCUGAAUCAUUUGCUCUUAAGUUGAGUUCAAGUUUUUCUGCCCAUUGUGGUACCAUUAAGGCUUAUCGAGAUGUGGGGUCCUGUGUACUAGGUGGGCACUGGUGAAAUGUGACCGUAAGGCGGAGAUUCUCAUACUUUUUGUUUAGAAGAACACUCUACGGUAUUAAAAGUUAUUAAGCACCCCAAAGAGCUUUUGUUUUUGUGGGUUACCGCCAUCGAUAUCCACCAUAUUAGACAUUAAAACAGAAAAAUUUUAAAAUACAAG
ensembl:lncRNA